rnacentral:rRNA from 1 species
AUGGUGGAACCAGUGAAGCUCAUUGGAGGCUUUGGCAGCCCGUUCGUCCACCGCGCCGAGGUCGCCUUGCGUCUCAAAGGAGUUCCCUACGAGCUCAUCCUAGAGGACAUGACUAACAAGAGCGAGCUGUUGCUGAAGCACAAUCCCGUCCACAAGAAGGUCCCUGUGCUCCUCCACGGGGACAAGGCUGUCUGCGAGUCUCUCCUCAUUGUCGAGUACGUCGACGAGGCCUUUGACGGGCCACCUAUCCUGCCGACUGACCCUCAUGAAAGGUCUGAGGCCCGCUUCUGGUCCAAAUUCUUUGUGGAAAAGUGCUUGUUGUCCCUGUGGCUAGCGCUGUGGACGGAGGGCGAGGAGCAGAAGGUCUUUAUUAUGGACGCAAAAGAGAACCUCACGCUAGUGGAGGCACAACUCAAAGAGAAGAGGUUCUUUGGAGGCGCCACAAUUGGCCUCGCCGACAUCGCCGGUGCCAGCCUACUGUCUCGCUGGGCAAGCGUGAUGCAAGAGGUCGCUGGGGUGAGGGUGAUGACGGACGAUGAGUAUCCUGCUAUCCACCGGUGGAUCGAGGACUACAACGCCGACGAAGCUGUCAAGGAGUGCUUGCCGGACAGAAACCAUCUCAUCUCCUACUUCACCAUGAUCAGGGGAAAGUGUAUCUCCGCGGCCAAGUCCAUGCUACCCAAUUAUCUAGCCAAGAAAUAG